rnacentral:rRNA from 1 species
AUUGAACGCUGGCGGAAUGCUUUACACAUGCAAGUCGAGCGGCAGCGCGGGGCAACCUGGCGGCGAGCGGCGAACGGGUGAGUAAUACAUCGGAACGUACCCAGUUGUGGGGGAUAGCCCGGCGAAAGCCGGAUUAAUACCGCAUACGACCUGAGGGUGAAAGGGGGGGAUCGCAAGACCUCUCGCAGUUGGAGCGGCCGAUGGCGGACUAGCUAGUUGGUGGGGUAAAGGCCUACCAAGGCGACGAUCCGUAGCGGGUCUGAGAGGACGACCCGCGACACUGGAACUGAGACACGGUCCAGACUCCUACGGGAGGCAGCAGUGGGGAAUUUUGGACAAUGGGGGCAACCCUGAUCCAGCCAUUCCGCGUGAGUGAAGAAGGCCUUCGGGUUGUAAAGCUCUUUCGGCAGGAACGAAACGGUCUUUUCUAAUACAAGAGGCUAAUGACGGUACCUGAAGAAGAAGCACCGGCUAACUACGUGCCAGCAGCCGCGGUAAUAC